UACAGAGGUCUCAAGCGUUGUUCGGAUUCAUUGGGCGUAAAGGGUGCGUAGGCGGCGCGGUAAGUCGGGUGUGAAAUCUCGGAGCUUAACUCCGAAACUGCAUUCGAUACUGCCGUGCUUGAGGACUGGAGAGGAGACUGGAAUUUACGGUGUAGCGGUGAAAUGCGUAGAUAUCGUAAGGAACACCGAUAGUGAAGACAGCUAACUAAGCUUUAACUGACGCUGAGGCACGAAAGUGUGGGGAUCAAACAGG
rnacentral:rRNA from 1 species